GUACUUGCAGAACCUAUUGAGUGGAUCUCUUCAAUCCUUUCUUUAAGAAUGAAGAUUAUGCCUACGACUCUUGCUGUGUUAGAAGAUAUGUAUGGAUAUAUGGCUUUCCCAAGCUCAAUAAUGUUUUGGUGUAUUACUUUUGAAAUCCAGUUUUGAGUGGAGUAGGGCAAAUCAUCCAACCGACCAGAUAAAGAAGGAACUCUUCGGACAUUCCCUAAGGAAGGGGGCGCAGAGACUUAUA
rnacentral:lncRNA from 1 species